UUAAAGCGAGUAAGUUUGCCAGUGCUGUUUUUAAGGUAAGCAGUUGUUGAGGGUCGCUUUGCAGCAAAUCUUGUAGGCAUAUUUUCGAAGGACCAGUUUUCCAGUGGUCAUGUUAUAGGUGAGGACCCUCUUCUUAAGAAAGUGGACAAAUUGUAGAUAAUAAUUCCUUUGUGUGUUUCUAAAUAGACUUGCAAUGAUGACAAACAACUUAGGACACCUUUUAAUCACACCAUGUAAAUAACAUAGUUACCGUUACCUGAGCAAGUCUGGAAAAAACAUUUAUCGUUGAAUCAGCCUUCCAUUUGCUGGAAAUGUUUGUUUUUUUGUAAAGCAUAUUGGAACCUGUGAUGAAAAAAUUGUUUGUGGUUGUCUUGCAGAAAAAGAUUAUGGAGUACCAAGAUCUAUAUCAUAGGGCAAAUACACAAGAUUGUGAUUCUGUUAGCAAAUGCAUUCACAGGUGUUUGUGUUUUGUGAGUGCAUUGAUGGGUAUUUAUGUUGCAGGAAGCAUUGGUAGGUGUUUUCUUUUCGGGAGAGAAUUUCUAGGUCUUUGUUUAAAGAUUGAGUUUGCAGCCAAGGUCUAAGUAAAGCUGGUGAGAGUGUCCUGUUGGCUGUGUUUAUGUUGAAAUUAACUGCAGUGGCAGCCAUCGGGCAGAGCCUGAUAACCACCGCUGCCCUACUGUCUGUAGAGGGUUCAAAGAUAAGGGAUGAUACACCAGAUUGCCACCCGAUUGAUGCUGUCUGUUUUCCAGUUAAAGUACCCUGUCUUCACAACUAAACCAGUUUGCGAAAUUAGCACUUGUCUGGUUGUUCGGGACAAGUAAUUGCUUUCAAGUAACUUCGGCAGGAAAUAUGAAUAGAGUAUAAAGGAAAGCUAUUCACUUUAGCUGGUUCGGACAAGUAGUUUCAAAUUCUAAAUUCACAGACUUCUAAACAGCUAACCUUAAAUUUCAAGCAUGUCUGUUCCUUUAUCUUGACAUGCAUUUCGUAUAAUCAGGCUUGGGAUGUUCAGGACUGGUUCUGAUUUCAGGCUUUUGAAUACAUGUACCAGAAUUUCCCUAUAUGAUACUAUUAAAAAAGGAGAUACAUUUUCAGACUUGUAAAUUAUACUUCUGGUGUGUAGUAUAUGUUUAUUGGUGAUCACUUGUAAGAGAUAUGAAACCAAAAACUGAAGAAAAUCCUUUGUUUGUAUUUAAUAUAGAAAAGAAUGUUGGUGAGAAUAUUUUCUGUACAGAUUUCAUUACACAUAAGAUGACAUUGUUAUACAUGUUUUACACUGGUUUAUUUUUGAUGAGGAGAAAGCAAAGGAGAUUUACGAUUGCCAUUUAUACUGUAUCACACUAAAAUGUGUUGUUGAAAAUGAAACAAACUUGCAAUGAUGACAAACAACUUAGGACACCUUUUAACCACAAUAUGUAAAAAAAAUUGUUACCGUUACCUGAGCAAGUUUGAACAGAUAGACACAUUCCUUCUUGAUUUAUUUACAGGCUUUUUAGUUUGUUUUGAAAAAGUUAGCUGAAAAAAGUUUACUGAACACAUCAUAUGUUGAAAAAAUGCAAGCCAUAAAGUAUCUUUUGAAGUAAAGACAAAUGUGCAAUUUUGAGUAUUGUUCCUUUAUCUACGGCUAUAAUUAUGAUCCUUCCUUUUUUGUCAAAAGGAGGUGAUAAGUAUAAAGGCAAGCUAAAACAGAUUGGGUGUAAAAUAUUGGUCCUUUCUUAAGACUGUUAAUACUCUUAUUUUUGAAAAUAUACCAAGUCCAGUUCUCGGAACAACAUAUGAUGAGUAAAAAUGCAUGUGCAUCCCUUGAAUACGAUGAUGGUUUCAGUGUAGCUCUGAUGUUGUCUACUUUCCUUUAUAAUUGGUCCUACCCUAUAGACAGUAUUACUAAGUUUUGUUUGCCAGAAAUCUUGUGUUGUUGAAAGCGUGUUGCUGAAGCAACUUAUUUGCUUUUUGAAAGGGUUUAACAUGUUUUCCUUUUAACUAAUGAAACUACACCUUGUAAUACUGACUGUUGAGUAAAAGGUAUUGGUUUGUCAAAACUUCAAAAGGUCGAAACUCUUAAAUGAAGGUCCAGAUAUUGAUACAUAUUGGUAUGAAUUUCGAGACAGUUUGCAGUGAUGAAAAUUCUUAGGACACCUUUUAAAGAACCAUGUGAAAAAUGUAAGCGUUACGAAAACUGAGCAAACUUCAGAAACAUCUAACCCGCCCUCUUAGCUCAGUAGGGAGGACGUUGGUCUACGGAUCUCGGGGUUGCUAGUUCGAUCAGGGCGUAUGUUCUCCGUGACGAUUGGAUAAAAGACAUUGUGUCUGAAAUCAUUAGUCCUCCACCUCUGAUAAUUCAUGGGGGGAAGUUGGCAGUUACUUGCGGAGAACAGGUUUGUACUGGUACAGAAUCCAGGAACACUGGUUAGGUUAACUGCCAGCUGUUACAUGACUGAAAUGCUGUUGAAAAACGGUGUUAAACCCAAAACAAACAAACAAAAAUCAGAAACAUCUAAAAUUUAUGUCAAAAUAGAGAAACUUUGAUGACUUGCAAUGAUGACAAACAACUUAGGACACCUUUUAAUCACACCAUGUAAAAAACAUAGUUACCGUUACCUGAGCAAGUCAAGAGUAUUGGGAUCCCCACCACUGCUGUAAUCUGUGAAAGUACAGAACAAUAAUUUUGUCAAGAUUCAUCUUGUGGUGGUGGUGGAGUGGGGAGUGGGUGUAGAUGGCCACUGGUUCUUGUAUUUUCUGAUGAAAAGAUGCAGGAAGUUACAUAAUAAGUAUACAUACAAAAAUAAGGGCAGUGUACUUGUUUUGAUUGUAAUGAACAAAACUUGCAGUGAUGACAAACAACUUAGGACACCUUUUAAUCACAGCAUGUAAACAACAUUGUUACCGUUAACUGAGCAAGUUUGAA